CCGGCUUUUUCUCCUUGCGUUCUAGGGUUUAAGCGCCCACCGAUCUAUAGCUAGGGUUUAGACCUAGCUCCCGUCUCCCUCUCACGUCCCUAUCGCCGGGAAACCCAGAAGCCUUAGGAGGGGAUCCUUUUCCACCAUGAAUUUCCGGUUCCAGAACCUCCUUGGCGCCCCGUACCGUGGCGGCAACGCCGUGGUCGCGGAGAACGCCAUCCUCUACUCCCCUGUCGGCAACCGCGUCGCCGCCACUGACCUUGCCAAGUCCCAAACCGUAACGCUUCCGUUCGAGGCCUCGUCCAAUAUCGCCCGCAUCGCUGUCUCCCCAGACGGCAACUUCCUCCUCGCCGUCGACGACGUCGCCCGUGCCCUCUUCGUCAACCUCCGCUGCCGCGCUGUCCUUCACCGGAUGACCUUCAAGAGGCCCGUCAGCGCCAUCCGCUUCAGCCCCGACGGCGCCCUGAUCGCCGUCGGCCUCGGCAAGCUCGUCCAGAUCUGGCGGUCCCCGGGCUUCCGGAAGGAGUUCUUCCCCUUCCACCUCAAGCGGACGCUGCCGGACUGCGCCGCCGCCGUGACGGCGCUGGAAUGGAGCCCGGAUUCCAAGUACCUCCUCGCCGGCUCGAAGGAUCUGACUGUGAGGCUCUUCUGCUUGCACAGAUCGAGGGGUUCUCAUAAACCCUUUCUGUUUCUAGGGCACAGGGAAGCCAUUGUUGGCGCCUUCUUUGGUACCGAGAAGAAAACCAAUAGGGUUUGCAAGGUGUACACUAUAUCAAGAGAUGGAGCCAUUUUCACCUGGAAUUUAGAUGAAAGCCAAAAUUUUGAUGGCUCUAGAGGGGACAUUUCAGAUCCUCCUUCUCCCGGUACACCGGAGCAAAGGCCUCCCGGAAGAAAUCUCAUUGAAAAUUCGGUCGAAUUUGAAAAUGAUGACAUAAAACCAAUGAAUUUGGAUGGUAUUCAUGCCGAAGAAUCAGAAAUCCCGCUCCAUAGAGCAAAAUGGGCAUUGUUAAAGAAGGAUUUCUUCAUGCAGGCACCAGAAAAGUUAACAGCUUGUGAUUACCACCGGGAGCUUGAUAUGGUUGUGGUUGGGUUUUCCCAUGGGGUUUUCGGGCUGUAUCAGAUGCCAGACUUUGUCUGCAUUCAUUUGCUUUCUAUAUCUAGGGAGAAGAUCACCACAGCAGUAUUUAACAAACUUGGAAACUGGUUAACAUUUGGUUGUGCGAAGCUUGGGCAGCUGCUUGUGUGGGAGUGGCGAUCAGAGAGCUAUAUUUUAAAGCAACAGGGUCAUUAUUAUGAUGUGAAUUGCGUAGCAUACUCGCCUGACUCCCAGAUGCUGGCUACAGGAGCUGAUGAUAACAAAGUCAAGGUGUGGACAGUUUCAUCAGGGUUUUGUUUCAUAACAUUUUCUGAGCACACUAAUGCUGUUACUGCAGUCCAUUUUAUGGCCAAUAAUCAUUGUCUUCUGAGUGCAUCUCUAGAUGGGACUGUUCGAGCUUGGGAUUUAUUUCGUUAUCGGAACUUCAGAACAUUUACUACUCCUUCUCCUAGGCAGUUUGUCUCUUUAGCAUCAGACCUGAGUGGUGAGGUGAUUUGUGCUGGAACUCUUGAUUCGUUCGAGAUAUUUGUUUGGUCAAUGAAGACUGGCCGUUUGUUGGAUGUUCUUGGUGGUCAUGAGGGACCAGUUCAUGGUUUAAUGUUUUCACCUACAAAUGCUGUUCUGGCUUCAUCUUCAUGGGACAAAACUGUUCGAUUGUGGGAUGUUUUUGAAGGGAAAGGUGCAGUGGAAACAUUUCCACAUACACAUGAUGUUCUUACUGUAGUAUAUCGCCCAGAUGGAAAGCAGCUGGCUUGCAGCACAUUAGAUGGUCAAAUUCACUUCUGGGAUCCUAUAGAUGGCCUUUUGAUGUACACAAUUGAGGGCCGCAGAGACAUUGCUGGGGGACGUCUCAUGACAGAUAGGAGAUCAGCUGCUACUUCAAGUUCAGGAAAAUAUUUUACAACUUUAUGCUAUUCGGCCGAUGGAAGCUAUAUUCUAGCUGGAGGGAGUAGCAAAUACAUAUGCAUGUAUGACGUUGCAGACCAGGUAUUGCUUAGGAGAUUUCAAAUUACUCGCAAUCUCUCCCUGGAUGGAGUUCUUGAUUUUUUGAACUCUAAGAGGAUGACAGAUGCUGGUCCAUUAGAUUUGAUUGAUGAUGAGAAUAGUGAUGUUGAAGAAGGGAUUGACCGACAAACACGGGAGAAGAUAGGACAUGAUUUACCUGGAUCGAUGGCCAAUCGUGGGCGGCCUGUCGUUCGUACAAAAUGUUUGAAAAUUUCACCAACAGGAAGAUGUUGGGCUGCAGCAACUACUGAGGGAGUUCUUUUGUAUUCUGUUGAUGAGUCCUUUGUUUUUGACCCCACAGACCUUGACAUAGAUGUUACACCUGAGGCAGUGGAUGAGGCUCUUGCUGAGGAUCAAACACAGAGAGCAUUAUUGCUGAGUCUCCGCCUGAAUGAAGACUCUCUAAUUAAAAAAUGCAUAUUUGCUGUGAAUCCAUCAGACAUACCAACGGUGUCUUCAGCCAUACCCUUCAAAUAUUUGCAGAGGUUAAUUGAAGCAUUUGCUGAACUUCUAGAAAGCUGUCCGCAUCUGGAAUUUAUUCUUCAAUGGAGUCAGGAGCUCUGUAAGGCUCAUGGUCAUUUCAUCCAGCAGAAUUGCAGAAGUCUGCUUCCAGCACUGAAGUCCUUGCAGAAGGCAAUCACAAAAAUGCAUCAGGAUCUGACAGAUACAUGUUCUUCCAAUGAGUAUUUACUCCGUUAUCUAUGCUCUUCAGGCACCAAGAUCUGAUGGACGAUCGCUUGUGCUGACCCACUCUUAGGUCUUGGAAAAAAAUGUGUGACUAAUGGUAUAUGAACUGAGUGUGUGAUGCCUUCAGUCUUGAUGUUGUACCGACCUGCGCCUGCCACUCAAAUGAAAAGAGGAAAUAGGACAUGCGAUAAAGAUCCAAUGUAAGUUUUGGGCCAAAGGUAAUUCACCUGGCUGUUUUAUGGAGAAGUGGGAAUACAAUUUUUUCUCUUUUUUCAGUCAGAGAUGGAUUUUUUCCUCAGUGAUUCCAUCCAGGUGAUUUGUUAGCCGUGUCAGUGAUUCCAUCCAGGUGAUUUGUGCAAGUGUGUGUGUGGAGAAACCAUGAUGAAUAAAAGUGCAGUGUAUUGGAGUUCAACCUUCCUGUGAUUGAGAACCUUGCUGGGUUAUAGCGAUGCACAUUGAAAAUUAACGGGGAUUUCUAUUUUGACCGAGGAUGGCAGUUUGCUGCACUAUGUUCAUGGACGGCAUUUAACCAACCGAUCAGGGAACACCAUUUUUUGGUGAGUAAUCAAAAAGUAAAAUCUUAUUGAAUUAUGACUCAGGGAAUAAGCUUGAAGAUGGUUGGCUAAAGAUGUUAUUCUGGUAUGUGUAGCAGUAAUUUAUAAUUUCUCUGGCAUGAAUCAUAGGAAUGCAAUAUGGUGUUUGAAUUAAUGAAGAAUCCCCAAUGUCUAGAAAUAUGUCGAUUUAUUUGUAUAUUCAUUGGCCCUGUAGAGAUAAUAGAGGCUGUGUGUCCUUAUUUGAUGGAUGCCCUGUUGGGUCUAGAGAACCAGCAUGACACUAGUUCAUAGCUGAUAACCGGACGUCCGGUUCUACAGCCGCGAGGGACUGUUGUUGUAAUGAUAUUACCUUGAUAAUGAACAUGUUAUAUCAGUUUUAUUACGCAAA